GACCGACUGAAAGGGAACCAAUUUAAAUAUUAAAUAAGGAUCUCAGGAGGUAUGUCCUCUACAUAUUUUAUGCCAAAGGGGUUCGCAAAAAAGUCCAUUGGUGAUAUGGGGGUUGUCUGUGUCAUGCAUGCCGGGAGUCGAUAGAACAUUCAUAAUUCACUAUAUCUGACCUGAAGUGCUGGGAGGUGUGCCUCAACAUGCUUUCUUUAUUUAAUCAUUAUAAUUAACAAUCCAAUUCUAACCUAACAUUUAACUCACAAGUCAACGCUGACAAACUAUACCCUGUACGUAAAAGAUUUAGAUUUUUGAAUGACCAACACAAGACAUGAAAAAUAACUAAAUACAGCAACAACAUUCAGUUCUCAGAAAUCAGUGUCAUUUAUUCAGCAUCAAUUUGAAUUCAGAUUCCUGUGCUUUAUGACAUGUUGUUCAUUAACACUUUAUAACAGAGUUCAAUACAGUUAGCUAACAUGAACUACACUAACAAUGCAUUUACAGCAUUUAUUAAUCUAGUCUACAUGUACUGAUACUAUAUAAGCAUUUAAGAUACAUGAAUUCAUACUAAACAGUUAUAAUAACGUUUUUGUGAUUUCACAUUACACUAGAUAAAUAAAUACUGUAAAAAUUGUUGUGAUAAUGCAUUAACUAAUGUUUCCUUAUUGAAUGUUUUUGUAAAGUGUUAUCAAAAAUCAGAUAAUGUUACACAUAUAUUUUUAGAGAGAUUUUUCUUUAAAGAGAAAGUGAACAAUUGCAGACAACGCCUCAGGCCCUGAGCACCCUACACCCAAACCAUCAAGCUGACUGAAUUUAAAAUAUAUAAACAGUCCUUAAAACCAUUGGGUGAAACAAACAAAAACUAUUUACAAUACAAUGAGCAAUAUGGAAGAAACAGAUUAACACUUUAUUGUAAGGUAAAUUUAACAAUAACAAUAAAAAUUAAUUAAAGCCACUCUUCAUAAAACUUUCCAACAGUGGAAAAAACCCCAGGAAUGUAAUGAUGAUCAGUGACGCAUUACUGCCACCUGCCAGACUCUCAGAUACAGUUGAAUGAUGACUUAUCUUUACUUUCAUUUUCUAUCCCUAUAGCUCUGAGAAAUAGUUUCUGCUUGUUCUUUGGCAUCCUUGAUCACGGUGUUUUUGUUCAUGCCCAGUCACUCAAAAAUGAAUAUUCAGUCAUUAUUUACUCACCCACACAUUGUUCAAAAUUUUUAUGAUUUUCUUUCUUCUAUGAAAUAUAAAAUAAAUAUUUUUUGUUUUGUUUCAGUCAGUGGGUUUGUUGGAAAUCAAAGCUUUUAUUUUUUCAACAUCCGCCAAAGCAUUAUAUUUAAUUUUUUGUUAUUUCCUGUACAGAAGAAAGUAGUUUGAAUGGAAACUUAGCCUAUUUUAACCACAGUAUAGAUAUUUAUAAUGGUCAAUGCUUCUUUUUUAAUCUUGCAAUUCCUUUUUUUUUUUCUCAGAAAUGUGAGUUUUUUUCAAAAUUCAGCAUGAGCAUGUAGUCAGGUGUAAUAUAAUAAUAAUAAUAAUAAUAAUAAUAAUAAUAAUAAUAAUAAUAAUAAUAAUAAUAAUAAUAAUAAUUUCUAAGAGGAAUAACAGAAUUCCAAGAUGUAAAAUCAGAAUUUUGAGAAAUAAAAGUCAGAAUUGUGAGAUAAAAAAUUUCAAUGGUGAGGAAACAAUUGCAGUAUAAAUUUUAUUCCAUGGUGGACAUAAGUUUCUGUAUAGGGUUGGAUUGACAUGAAGAUGAAUAAAUGAUAGAAUUGUCAUUUUUGGUUGGACUGACCCUUUAAAUAUACAAGUGAUACUGCAGUGCAAAGUUAAAGUGUACAAAACAGUAUGAUAGCUAAAGGCAGCAAGUACAGGAUAAGUCCAGACAAACACUACCAGCAUAAAUAAUUGUUGUAGUGAUGUGUGGCUUUGUGUUUGCAGAAUAAAAAAAAGGAUCUUAAGAUUUGAACAGUAUGGCAGCCUAUCAGGCCAUCAAACUGGUCACAGCCAAAACUAACAGUCCAAGCCACCAACCGCCUCAUUUCAGACAAGCUGGUGGGAUGCAGACACAAGUUUUUAUUUCAAGCACCCAACAUGCUUCUUUACACAUCCAUCAUGAGCACAAAUGCACAGUGUAUUCCUUGAGGCCAGGCAGUCUUAGCACUGAAGAUGUGAUGUUCAUAGCUUAUAUCCAUAAUCAUCCUGUGCCUGUACAGGUGUCAUGGCGCUCAAAUUCAAGAAUGGCCUAGAGCACUGCCUCAAAAAAAAAAAUAAAAAAAUCACAGCACAAAAAAAAAGAACAAAAAAACAACACCAGCAACAACCCUGGAACAAGUAUUGUAAAAAUGUGGAGCGAUAUAAGGCCUCAAAUCAUCACCCACUUUCACAGCCGGACGUUCCUGCGCUCCAUUGACUGUUGACAGAUCCCACCCAGAGUGCUGAACUUUGGCCCCAGGUUCUGCAGGAAGUCCAGGUUAUCCCCAAGGUUGCUAACAGUCAGCUGAUCCAGUGAUUGACAGUCACUGCCCCUCCCCUCAUAUUCAUACUGAUAUGUGGAAUACGCUGGAUAGUCCCUCUGGUCUUCCGGAAAGCUGCUGAUUUUCUAUGGAAUAACACAACGGAAAGAGAAAUAUCAAAAUGCGGUAACACUUUAGAAUAAGGUUCCAUUAGUUAAUGUUAUUUAACUACUUUAGUUAACAUGAACUAAGCAAGAACAAUCCUUCUACAGCAUUUAUUAAUCUUAGUUAAUGUUAAUUUCAACAUUUACUAAUGCAUUAUUCAAAGUUAAGCUUGUUAACAUUAGUUAAUGCACUGUGAAUUAGCAUGAACUAAUAAUGAAUAACUGUAUUUUCAUUAACUAACAUUAACAAAGAUUAAUAAAUACAGUAAUAAAUGUAACGUUCAUUGUUUGUUCAUGUUAAUUAAUACAUUAACUAACAUUAAC
ensembl:lncRNA